rnacentral:other from 1 species
GAUACUCUGUUUUGUUCGUAACUAGAGUUAAUUUUUGUGCCAACAACUUAACUUUGGAAGCUCCACCUCUGCCUAUGGCGUAAAUGCCUGCUUGUAAUAAGCAGGACUUACAAAAUAGACAGGAGAGCCUCCCACUUAGUGGGGUGGGGCAUAAAAAACUUCACUUAGUUACGGCAAAACGGAGUAUCG